CCUACGGGAGACAGCAGUGAGGAAUAUUGGUCAAUGGGCUUACGCCUGAACCAGCCAAGUCGCGUGAGGGAAGACUGCCCUAUGGGUUGUAAACCUCUUUUGUCAGGGAGCAACGCCGGCUACGUGUAGCCGGACUGAGAGUACCUGAAGAAAAAGCAUCGGCUAACUCCGUGCCAGUGGCCGCGGUAUUACGGAGGAUGCGACCGUUAUCCGGAUUUAUGGGGUUUAAGGGGUGCGUAGGCGGAAGGCUAAUACAGCGGUAAAAUCGCGGGGCUCAACCUCGCUCCGCCGUUGAAACUGGCGUUCUUGAGUGGGCGAGAAGUAUGCGGAAUGCGUGGUGUAGCGGUGAAAUGCAUAGAUAUCACGCAGAACUCCGAUUGCGAAGGCAGCACACCGGCGCCCAACUGACGCUGAAGCACGAAAGCGUGGGUAUCGAACAGGAUUAGAUACCCUAGUAGUC
rnacentral:rRNA from 1 species